UAAUUCUAGAGCUAAUAUUUCAAAGAAUGCCGUGACUUCGGAAGCGGCGGAUUUAUUAGUAUCAAAACCAACCUACUGGCAACAGUGGUUCAUUGAUGACUCUGGAUAACUUUACUGAUCGUACGACCUUGUGUUGACGACGUAUCUCUUGAAGUGACUGACCUAUCAACUUUCGAUGGUAAGAUCAAAGCUUACCAUGGUUAUAACGGGUAACGGGGAAUCAGUGUUCGAUUCCGGAGAGGGAGCCUGAGAAACGGCUACCACAUCCACGGAAGGCAGCAGGCGCGUAAAUUACCCAAUACCGGUUCGGUGAGGUAGUGACGAAAAAUAACAAUAUGGGCCCUAGUGGUUUCAUAAUUGCAAUGAGAACAUUUUAAAUACUUUAUCAAGUAUCAAUUGGAGUAUAUUGUCGAUGUUCUUUAUUUGGAUGUCGAUAAUAACCGGCAAGUUUACUUUGAAAAAAUUAGAGUGCUUAAAGCAGGCUUUAUGCUUGUAUAUUGUUGCAUGGAAUAAUGAAAUAGGACUUCGGUUUUAUUUUGUUGGUUUUCUUAACCGUAGUAAUGAUUAAAAGAGACUGCCGGGGGCAUAUGUAUGCUGGUGUUAGAGGUGAAAUUCUUAGAUCAUCAGCAGACAAACUACUGCGAAAGCAUUUGCCAAGAAUGUUUUCAUUAAUCAAGAACGAAAGUCAGAGGAUCGAAGACGAUCAGAUACCGUCCUAGUUCUGACCAUAAACUAUGCCAACUGACAGUUAGCUAGGUAAUUAUAAUUAUCCUUGCUAGAAGUCACCGGGAAACCUAAGUCUAUGGGUUCCGGGGGAAGUAUGGUUGCAAAGCUGAAACUUAAAGGAAUUGACGGAAGGGCACCACCAGGAGUGGAGCCUGCGGCUUAAUUUGACUCAACACGGGGAAUCUCACCCGGUCCGGACACUGUGAGGAUUGACAGAUUGAUAGCUCUUUCAUGAUUUGGUGGGUGGUGGUGCAUGGCCGUUCUUAGUUGGUGGAGCGAUUUGUCUGGUUAAUUCCGAUAACGAACGAGACUCUAACCUGCUAACUAGUAUAUUUGUGUAUAUAUAGCAAAUAUGACUUCUUAGAGGAAUUAAUAGUGUUUAACUAAAUGAAAUUGAGCAAUAACAGGUCUGUGAUGCCCUUAGAUGUCCGGGGCCGCACGCGGGCUACAAUGGCAGUAUCAGCGAGUAUUUUUCCUGGCUAGAAAUGGUUGGGUAACCUCGUGAAACACUGUCGUAUUCGGAAUAGUGGCUUGAAAUUUUUCCACUUGAACGAGGAAUUCCUAGUAAGUGCAAGUCAUCAACUUGCGCUGAUUACGUCCCUGCCCUUUGUACACACCGCCCGUCGCUACU
rnacentral:rRNA from 1 species